AGUCUCUGUCCCAUGGGGCUGUGGGGGUCCCUUUUCUCCUCAGCCAGGGCUGAAGGCCAAGAUAAGCCCUCAAGGAUCAUCAUCUAUAAGCUGGGCAGCCUUGUUUUCCUACCUCAGACAUUU